GGGGGAUUAGCUCAGCUGGGAGAGCACCUGCUUUGCAAGCAGGGGGUCGUCGUUCGAUCCCGUCAUCCUCCA
rfam:Burkholderia sp. AD24 chromosome II sequence.